rnacentral:rRNA from 1 species
UACGUAGGGUGCGAGCGUUGUCCGGAAUUAUUGGGCGUAAAGGGCUCGUAGGCGGUUUGUCGCGUCGGGAGUGAAAACCAGGUGCUUAACACCUGGCUUGCUUUCGAUACGGGCAGACUAGAGGUAUGCAGGGGAGAACGGAAUUCCUGGUGUAGCGGUGAAAUGCGCAGAUAUCAGGAGGAACACCGGUGGCGAAGGCGGUUCUCUGGGCAUGACCUGACGCUGAGGAGCGAAAGUGUGGGAGCGAACAGG